rnacentral:rRNA from 1 species
CGUGUAGGCGGAUCGGCCAGUCAGAGGUGAAAUCCCUGGGCUCAACCCAGGAACUGCCUUUGAUACUGCCGAUCUAGAGUCCGGGAGAGGAUCGUGGAAUUCCCAGUGUAGAGGUGAAAUUCGUAGAUAUUGGGAAGAACACCAGUGGCGAAGGCGGCGAUCUGGACCGGUACUGACGCUGAGGCGCGAAAGCGUGGGGAGCAAACA